UGAAAAAUCAAUGUCAUUAGCUAAUGAGAUAUGAUUAAAGCAAAUAUAAUUGCUAUUAUCACUACCAAGGGAGUAUCUCAGAAAAAAAAGCUCAUUAUUUUGCUCGCUUUCCUAUGGGGUGAGUGUAGAAAUAUAGCAAGAAACCUAAGUGCUGUGUGAAGCUGAAGCAGCAGCGUGUGAGGGAUAACAUUUGUAUGUCAAGUAGCCAACAACAAAACACGUGAUGACAAUACAUUUUGAGCUGGGAAUUGAGGGUAUGGAAGGAGCAGAAUCCAAAAAGUGAAGGUAUCCUUUACAAGUAAUGAUGUGCAGGUAACUGAGAAAAGAACUUAAGAAAAUAAUUAGAAAACACUCAGAAGACUGGGUAAAUUGUCCUGACACAACCCACUAACAAAAGUAGUGAAGACAAUAAGGUCAAACAUUUUCUUGGAGAAAUUUUCAUUUGAAUUCUUUUGCUAAAUGAUACCAUUAAGUAGGAAUGCUGUUAAGCAGCAGGAUGCCUACUCUCCAUCUGGGCAAAUUCCUGGACCCUUGCAACCUCAUGUUCAUGGGUCCAAAUGCAAAAUUCAUCUUUGCUCACCAGAACAUUGAUACUAUGUUACAUUCUUCCCAUUCUUCUUCCCUCAACAGUACUGGCAUAAUAUGCUGUUUCAUUUCCUUCAUCUUGAGAAGUUUCUAGGUUGAUUCCCUGUGUGGAAUCUGCUUAUAAACCAAAACCAGACCUUUCUCAAACAUUCCUACUAAGCUGUCUUCAUCUGUUACUUGCCUGUGUGUCACGUAUCCUUUUUCCUACAGUCCACUCAUGUAAAUGCCCAUGACAGUGAGGAUGAGUCUAAUUGGAGAUAUUGCCAGUCCCACAAGACUUUGAACAUUUAUAGACAGCUAGAAUUGAGGAAGACAGAAAGUACCCCUGUGGUUUAUCAAUUUCUUGAAAACAUUCAACCCCAUUGCUGAAGCAAGACAAGAUGGAACAGGUUGCCUAGGACCACUUACAGUUAGGUUUGGAGUAUCUUCAAUAAUGGAUACUCCACAAUUUCUCUGGGAAAACAGUGUUUGAGAACUUCUACAGGAAAAAAGAAAAGGUAAUUUGUUGUGUUCAGAUGGAAUUUCAUGUGUUUCAAUUUGUCCCUGUAGCCUCUUCUACAGUCACUGGGUACUCCAGAAAAGAGUCUGGCUCCCUUCUCUUCAUUCCGGAAGUUCCGUAAGUAUUUACAUUUACUGAUAAGAUCCCUCCUGAGCUUUCUCUUCUUUAAACCCCCUGGGCCCAGUCAUUCAGCUGGUUUUCAGAGCAGUUUCCCGUCCAACUGUCUAACACUUUCUCAUCUUGUCAGUGAGGAUGUUAUGGGAGAGUGUCAAAAGCCUUACUAAAGCUGAAUUAAACAACAUCCAUUAAGCUCUUCUCAUCCAUCAAGCUAGACAUCUCAUUGUGGAAACUAUCAGCUUCGUUAUGCACAAUUUCCCCAUUGUCAUUCCAUGCUGAUUAUUCCUGAUCACCACCUUGUCCUUCAUGUAUCUCAGAAUGGUUUCCAGGACUAGUUGUCCAUCACCUUCCCAUGGACUGUAAGGCUCACUGCUGUCUGGACCCUUCUUUUUGCCCUUCUGGAAGACAGGACGGACAUUUGCUUUCUUAGAGAUGUCUUGCACCACAGAGUGCUUUCAUAACACCCUUAAAUGCUCCGUUGCAGGUGUUGUGGUGAUCUUAAAUUAACUGCUAGGCUUUAAUGUUGGUAUACAAAGCAGACAUUCAAAACAGUCUGCUUAACUAAAAUGAUAUUUGUUUAGGGAUUUUUCCAUCUGUACCCCCAAAAUAUAGGUUGUAAGGAAACCUUGGAGGUUUCUAUUCCAAGCAGAAAUUUCCUCAAAGCUGUGUCAAAUCACUGUGGCUUUGUGUAAAAACUGUCCUGAAAACUCCCAAGGAUAGGGAUUUUAUAAGUUAUCAGCAAAUUGGAUACAAAUCCCCUUCACAAUAAACCAUGCCUAGCUUAUUUAGCAUUACAUUUUGAAAUCUGGCAGAAGUUAAUUUUUAAUCAUUUGAUAGAUGUCUGCAAUUGUGUAUGACUUAACUUUCUUGACCAAUGGCACCCUACAGUAAUCUAAGCAUACCAUGUUUGCACAGCUGCAUUGUCUGCAUAGCAAUGACAGAAAGAUACAUUUAGCUACUGUUCUACACAAGAAUCAUGUCAGCAAGGAACAAAUAUUAAACAAAAAAAUUCACUAUUUAAUCAUCUAAGCGCACUCGAUUUCUCAGCAGCAUACCCUGCACGGGACAAGCCAAGAGCAAGGGCUUCACAGAUUUUACCUAAGUUUAGUAAUUCCCUGCACAACCUCCCCUGGGGCUUCUAAUGACACAAAUUAUUUCAGUGUAAAAGGUGACUCUACAGAGGGUUACAAAUAAAAAUGCUUAUAAUCAUACCUGUAGAAAGUUUCACUCCUAUCAUUCAUUUGUCUUUCUGACAGAAAUGUCAUUUAAUGCAAAUCAGUUUCUCUGUCAGAAUAAUACUUAAAGAAGUCCUGUCACUGAAAAACUGCAUUAGUGAUUUAUGCCUCAUUUCAGAGGGAUGAGCAACAGCCUUAUUACAGCCUCAUAAUAUAAAUCCAUACAAUACAGGGUUGCUAUGACAACUGAUGAGCCUUAAUAGCCUAGAUUCAAAGGACCUUGUUCAAAGCUGUCAAGUAGUGCGGUUCAAUGCAGUUCAGUCAUUUGCACCUGUAAGAACUGGGAGAAGGCCAUGCAGAAACUGAGCGGUUCACUCAGGCUCUCAGGGGAGGCAUCUGAGUUUUGCAGCUGAGAGCCUUCCUUACCUCUGAGCUAUGCACUGCUAGUCCGGAGGCUUUCCAGCCCCCAUCAGAGGCACCCAAACUGGCGUUUGGCUUCAGCAAUACUGAGCUCCCCAGACUGCCUGAGAAAUAGGGUUCACAUCCAGUUCCAUUUAUUAACAGUUAAAGAUGAGGUUAAAAAGAGGUAAGACAAUUAAACACCUUCUUGGUACUGAAAAUGGGCUGCCCACCCCUCUAGACUUCUUUUCUCAAAACUGUGAUCUUAGCCGUGUUUUCCGCCCAUAUCCUCCCACUAACUGUGGUAUUUGUCAGAUUUUGCUGGGCUAGUUCAGCUCACUAACACAGGAGAGAAUUCUGUCUUUUUCUUCUUUUCUGUACUAUUUUUCUCCUUGAGAUUCUGCCAAGGCCCAAAAUGGCUUGUUGCAGGGUUCUAACAACUUGCCAAAGGUAAAAUGGAGGAGCAACAACUGGCAGGAAUGGAGAGUUGCAAACCUACCCAGUGGUCUACCCUCUGAAAAGAGAAGCACCUGAGCUUUAACCGCAGCUAUAGAGUCACAGCAAUAUUCACAUCCUUGAUUCAUAGACUUGACUUGCUGUGAAAAGGUAAUAUUUUAGUGUCA
ensembl:lncRNA